AGCCAUGAUGAGUUAAUUUGCGCCUGAUAGCGAGGUCGGUGACAAAUGCCUAUUGUCAAACAAACCACCUUGCCUAUGUGACGACAAAAUUCUCUGAGCA